UCAUCAUAUUUAUUACAGUUUGUACAAAUCUUAAAAUGCAGCAAAAGAAAUAAAAGACACGUAAAAACAUUAUACAUUUUGGUUUCUUACACUACUUACAAACAAUGAUAUAAACUUUUUGAGAUAUGUCUUUUUAUUCUGUUAUUUGUUAGGUUAGAAAAAUAAAGCUUGGAAGUAUGGUUUACAGAAAAGCAUUAACCGAAGCAAGAUAAACAUGUACACAAUUAAACAGCAUUAGCAGUGUGACGUUAUCUUCCAUCAAAAACAAUGUUCAGAUCUUCCAAACAUACUAUUUCUUGCCAUUUGUUUGGCAACUAGUAACAACAUAUCAGCAAACCAAUAUUAGACCGCCACAAGACUUUCAGAUAAUAACACGUUAACAGUUUGUUACUCCCUUUGUACACACGAAUGCCAUUUUUUGAGGUCAGAUAAAAAUCGCGAUCUUUCGUGUUUUCUUUUAAUCUUUUGAGAACGUAUCUUCUUUGAUUUAUUGUUGUUUUCUGUUGUAACAGUUGUUUUUUUCAAUACUAUUUUAAAAUCGCAAGAAAUAUAUAUUAUAUAUAAGUACACAAUCAUUACUUCAUAUCAGUACAAUUUAUGUAAAUGCUAAACGUA